rnacentral:rRNA from 1 species
UACGUAGGGGGUAAGCGUUGUCCGGAUUUAUUGGGCGUAAAGAGCGUGUAGGCGGCUUGGCAAGUCCGCUGUGAAAACUCGAGGCUCAACUUCGAGACGUCGGUGGAAACUGCCUGGCUAGAGUCCGGAAGAGGAGUGUGGAAUUCCUGGUGUAGCGGUGAAAUGCGCAGAUAUCAGGAAGAACACCUAUGGCGAAGGCAGCACUCUGGGACGGUACUGACGCUGAGACGCGAAAGCGUGGGGAGCGAACAGG